rnacentral:rRNA from 1 species
GUGGGGAAUUUUGGACAAUGGGCGAAAGCCUGAUCCAGCCAUGCCGCGUGCAGGAUGAAGGCCUUCGGGUUGUAAACUGCUUUUGUACGGAACGAAAAGACUCCUUCUAAUAAAGGGGGUCCAUGACGGUACCGUAAGAAUAAGCACCGGCUAACUACGUGCCAGCAGCCGCGGUAAUACGUAGGGUGCAAGCGUUAAUCGGAAUUACUGGGCGUAAAGCGUGCGCAGGCGGUUAUAUAAGACAGAUGUGAAAUCCCCAGGCUCAACCUGGGAACUGCAUUUGUGACUGUAUAGCUAGAGUACGGUAGAGGGGGAUGGAAUUCCGCGUGUAGCAGUGAAAUGCGUAGAUAUGCGGAGGAACACCGAUGGCGAAGGCAAUCCCCUGGACCUGUACUGACGCUCAUGCACGAAAGCGUGGGGAGCAAACAGGAUUAGAAACCCGUGUAGUCC